GCGAGUGAAGCGGCAACAGCUCAAAUUUGAAAGCUGGCCCUUUUAGGGUCCGCAUUGUAAUUUGUAGAGGAUGAUUCGGCGAGGGCUCCUGCCUAAGUCCCCUGGAACGGGGCGUCAUAGAGGGUGAGAAUCCCGUAUGCGGUAGGUUGCCUUAGCCAUGUGAAUCUCCUUCGACGAGUCGAGUUGUUUGGGAAUGCAGCUCUAAAUGGGAGGUAAAUUUCUUCUAAAGCUAAAUACCGGCCAGAGACCGAUAGCGCACAAGUAGAGUGAUCGAAAGAUGAAAAGCACUUUGGAAAGAGAGUUAAAAAGUACGUGAAAUUGUUGAAAGGGAAGCGCUUGCAACCAGACUUGUCCGCAGUUGCUCAGCCGGUCUCCUGACCGGCGUACUCUUCUGCGGCCAGGCCAGCAUCAGUUCGGGCGGUCGGAUAAAGGCCUCGGGAAUGUGGCUCCUCUCGGGGAGUGUUAUAGCCCGGGGUGCAAUGCGGCCAGCCUGGACUGAGGAACUCGCUUCGGCAAGGAUGCUGGCGUAAUGGUUGUAAGCGACCCGUCUUGAAACACGGACCAA
rnacentral:rRNA from 1 species